rnacentral:rRNA from 1 species
UGGGGAAUUUUGCACAAUGGGGGAAACCCUGAUGCAGCGACGCCGCGUGAUUUAGAAGGCCUUCGGGUUGUAAAAAUCUUUUCUAUGGGAAGAAAAUGACAGUACCAUAGGAAUAAGGACCGGCUAAUUACGUGCCAGCAGCCGCGGUAAUACGUAAGGUCCGAGCGUUGUCCGGAAUCAAUGGGCGUAAAGGGUACGUAGGCGGGUAAGCAAGUUAGAAGUGAAAUCCUAUAGCUCAACUAUAGUAAGCUUUUAAAACUGCUCAUCUUGAGGUAUGGAAGGGAAAGUGGAAUUCCUAGUGUAGCGGUGAAAUGCGCAGAUAUUAGGAGGAAUACCGGUGGCGAAGGCGACUUUCUGGCCAUAACCUGACGCUGAGGUACGAAAGCGUGGGUAGCAAACAGG